UACAGGGGGUGCAAACGUUGCUCGGAAUCAUUGGGCGUAAAGCGCACGUAGGCGGUUCGUUAUGUCGGAUGUGAAAGCCCUUGGCUUAACCGAGGAAGUGCAUCCGAAACUGGCGAGCUAGAGUACGAAAGAGGAUCGCGGAAUUCCCGGUGUAGAGGUGAAAUUCGUAGAUAUCAGGAGGAACACCGGUGGCGAAGGCGGGUCUCUGGGCAAUAACUGACGCUGAGGAGCGAAAGCGUGGGGAGCGAACAGG
rnacentral:rRNA from 1 species